AUGCCUCACUGGUGUGCCAAAUUGAAAUUAUUCAAUACUCAAUUCUUUCAUUUAGUAUUUGUUUCUCCCAUGCCUAUCCUUCACAUGUCUAGAUUUUGUCGAGAACCUCUGUAUCCUCGUCAACCUUCCCUUCAAUUGCUACCUCCCAACAAUGAACUCCAAUCUACCCAGUGUGAUUGUCUCAUCCCAUCUACCCUCCUGAUCCACCAAUAUCUAAUUGGUUACCAUCCCUAG